AUGGUGGAGUCCACCCAAUCCCGCGGCGACUCGGGUUCUUCGGCAGUUAAACGGAAGUGCCCACCCUGCCAACAAGACGACGGCGACGGCACCGGUUCAAACGCUCACAAUGGAAUCAACUCAUCAUGGAACAGCCUUUCCGAGGAUGUCGUGCAUCAUAUACAUGCCCUAAUGCCGCUGCGAGACGCCGCACGUGCUGCGUGCGUGUCUCGGUCAUUUCGACGUUCCUGGAGACACUAUCCUAAUCUCACCUUCGGUAUGCAACAACUGGGCUUGAUUAGAAAAGCAGGAACAGUGGACGAAGUAGCAAUGGAUCUUGUAAGCAGAAUUGACCAUAUCGUUGGAAAUCAUUCAGGCACCGGAGUGAAAACGCUUGAGCUCCAACUCCCCUGGAACUGGAACAGACUCGACACCUCUUACGUCGACAGGUUCCUCAAGGCUGCCAUUGCGCCCGGUAUCCAAGAACUCACUGUGAUGCCGCCCUUAUUACAGCGUUACAACUUCCCGUGCUCGCUUUUAUCAGGCGAGAGCGGGCGGUCGAUUCGGUAUCUUAACUCACCAAUUCUAGUUUCCAUCCCACCGCCGGACUUGGUUGCCUGA
rnacentral:rRNA from 1 species